rnacentral:rRNA from 1 species
CCUACGGGAGGCAGCAGUAGGGAAUCUUCCACAAUGGGCGAAAGCCUGAUGCAGCAACGCCGCGUGUGUGAAGAAGGUCUUCGGAUCGUAAAACCCUGUUGUUAGAGAAGAAAGUGCGUGAGAGUAACUGUUCACGUGUCGACGGUAUCUAACCAGAAAGCCACGGCUAACUACGUGCCAGCAGCCGCGGUAAUACGUAGGUGGCAAGCGUUAUCCGGAUUUAUUGGGCGUAAAGGGAACGCAGGCGGUCUUUUAAGUCUGAUGUGAAAGCCUUCGGCUUAACCGGGGUAGUGCAUUGGAAACUGGGAGACUUGAGUGCAGAAGAGGAGAGUGGAACUCCAUGUGUAGCGGUGAAAUGCGUAGAUAUAUGGAAGAACACCAGUGGCGAAGGCGGCUCUCUGGUCUGUAACUGACGCUGAGGUUCGAAAGCGUGGGUAGCAAACAGGAUUAGAUACCCGGGUAGUC